CCUACGGGAGGCAGCAGUGGGGAAUAUUGCACAAUGGGCGAAAGCCUGAUGCAGCAACGCCGCGUGAGCGAAGAAGGACUUCGGGUCGUAAAGCUCUGUCAUCAGGGAAGAUAAUGACGGUACUUGAGGAAGAAGCCCCGGCUAACUACGUGCCAGCAGCCGCGGUAAUACGUAGGGGGCUAGCGUUAUCCGGAUUUACUGGGCGUAAAGGGAUCGUAGGUGGUUUAGUAAGUCAGAGGUGAAAGGCGACGGCUCAACCGUAGUAAGCCUUUGAAACUGGGGAACUUGAGUGCAGGAGAGGAGAGUGGAAUUCCUAGUGUAGCGGUGAAAUGCGUAGAUAUUAGGAGGAACACCAGUUGCGAAGGCGGCUCUCUGGACUGUAACUGACAUUGAGGCACGAAAGCGUGGGGAGCAAACAGGAUUAGAUACCCGAGUAGUC
rnacentral:rRNA from 1 species